UGUUGUUGACAUCUUUGGCAGUCUGUUUUUCCACCUUGCUGUAUUUUACCUUAUGCUUUUCUGUUUUAGAAGACUUUUCCCCUAUUAUUUUUUUAUUAACUUGUACUUUCGUUGACAUUAUUUUUGGUGUUGUGCUCUAUCACUUGUUUUUUGUGCCUCUGCUGUAUUCGCUCCUCGCCACUUUCUGUCUCGCUUCGCUCUGUCUCUGUUUCACUGCUGGUGUUUUUCAGAAAAAUAACAAGGUCUGGGGCUGUGCGUGUGCAUGUGUUUUGCACUGGCUGCAUAGGCUGGAUGCUCUGGCUGCACUGGGCUGGCUUCUUGUGUGGUCCCCCGGCAAACUUUAUGAUUUAUUCAGCUAAAGGCAGAGGAGCACGACCCCCAGUGACCACAGAGAGAGAGCUGCACGGAUUACGGGGAAAGGAGAAGACAGACAGAAAUCUACAUUUAACUGGUUCCUGGUAAUGAACAUCUGAAGUCCUCAGUGCCCUCAACCAUUUUGUUUCAACUGGAUUCCACCAAGGCAAAACAAACCAUGCACCACAGCUAAGCUGUUUUCAAUCACUUCAAUAGGAGGAGCUCCAUCACAAAACCAAUUACAAGGAUCAAACUUGAAGGAAAUCAGUCAAAACUCAAAGCCAAAAAUCAAGAUUUUUGCUGUGAAAAAGAUGUUUCUGAUCUGGCACAGAUCAGCAUGAAGAUACUGUGGAAAAGACUGUCUCCCAGUUGAGUCCGCGUGAAACAGAGAGUGAAACCGUAUCAAACCAGUCAUCAUUACAAGCCCAUUCCAAAACCCCAGGAGGGAUUACACAACGGUCAGUGCGUAGUGGGUGUGACACAGGCUUCUCCGUCAACCCCAGUGCUCACAGUGAGU